UUUUUGCCAUUUCUAGGGCCACUUCUGCAGCAUAUGGAGGUUCCCAGGCUAGGGGUCUAAUCAGAGCUGUAGCCACCGGCCUACACAAGAGCCACAGCAAUGUGGCAUCUGAGCCACGUCUGCAACCUACACCAUAGCUCAUGGCAAGCUGGAUCCUUAACCCACUGAGAAAGGCCAGGGAUUGAACCCGCAAUCUCAUGGUUCCUAGUCGGAUUUGUUAACCACUGAGCCAUGAUGGGAACUCCAUAUGCUUCCUUUUUAAAUCCUAGUUAUGGAAGCUAUUUAAACCAUACCCAUGAAGUCAGAAGCAGGGUGAUAAGAAUUAAUAGGAGAAAAGAAAGCUCACAUCCUUUUGUGGGUUCAGAUUGGAGGUGGGGAGAGGAGAGACUUAGGGAGGGGAUAGUGUCAGAGGGGAGACUUAGAGAUAAUUCACUGAAUCCCCUUUGAGUCUAUCCUUAAAUUCUUUUAGAAAAAUUAAUCUCCAAAUAUUUAAUUUUGAUUAUUAACAAAAUAUCUUUCUACCAAUGGCAAUUAAUAAAAUUAGAAAGCAGAAAAACAGACCAGCUGAUUUCUCUCUUCUUAAUCACAUAUAUUUGGCAGGGUAUAGUUUUAUUUAUUUGUUUUGUUCUGCCUUCUAUCUUGCUUCAUUCCAAAAAGACAUAAUAUGGCUUAUAGAAAAAAAAUGCAUAUAAUGUGAUAUAUAAAAAGAAGAAUCAAAACAAGUAAAAUGUAAAUUAUAAUAGAAUGGCAGGAUCCAGAGAGUAAUUCGGAGGAUUAUAAAAUCCCAUUGAUUUUUUAUAGGUGAAAACUUGGUUCUGAAAAAAAUCUUGACACUCAAAGGGCAGUGAACAACACAAUCACAGAGUUAUCAUGGAGGAAAAAGAACAUAUCAAUUGUACAGAGGAAGUAAAGUUUUUCUUAGCAGUUAGUGUGAAAGAAAUAUUUUACCUAGGGCUUCUUUCAGGAAGACCCAAUGACACAAUGUCCUUUACAAAAUACCAGCAGCAAUUUAGGGGCAGAUAUUUCCCCUAAACUGCUCAUAAAUUUGAGCUCUAUAACGCAAAAUAAAUCUUAUGAAUAAGGGAGGGGACAAAUUUUUGUCUGUAAGUUAUGGUUCAAUGUAUCAUUUUGUUAACUUUGGAUGAUUUUAUGUGAAUUUUUUCAAAUAAAGCCAAUCUAGGUAGUAGAGAGAACAUAUUGAAAACCACAGAUGGCCACGCAACAUGGCCAGCAGAAUACCAGUGGAAAUGACAGUGGGCCAAUUUUACACCGAAGGAGUAUGUGGCAUUGUGUCCUUUACUUGCUCCUCUGAAAACUUUUGAUCUCAGCCAAAUGGAUGUGCUCUAGGUAGUUGCUUCCUCCUCAGUGUGGGCCACAGAACAUAGCUGACCUUAACUUGAAGUUUGAAUAAGGCCUAUUCCAGCAGACCUGAAGACCUGUGAGUAAGAAAUACAUGCUUAUAUUUUAUACCACUUAGAUUUUGUAGUUAUUUGUUAAAUAGCAUUAUUGUGGCAAUAGCCUUCCAAUACCCUGCCUUGACUACUUCACAAAGUUGUUCUGAAGAUUGAGAGAAAUGAUCAGGGGUAUUAUUUGCAUAAUCAAACUUGAUGGGUAAAUUAUAACUGCUCACUUCUCUGAUGUUUAUUCCCAUAUAUGAUUUAUAGAAUUUUCAGUAGAUCUACCUGCUGUAUGCUGGAGAAUGAACUGAUACUGGGAUAGUCACAGAUUCAGGGAAGUAUUGUGAAAACUUUGGAGCAAGCAAAUAACAGAGGAUGUGGUUCAUUAUACCUAGCAUUGCCAGAUACACUAGCUGACAUCUUAUGUGGACCCUGUGUAUUGCAACAGACAACAUGUAUAUCAUGCAUAAACCAGGGGCUGAGUUGAGACUGCUGGCUGGAAUGAUAUAAACAAACAAUCCACAAGGACCUCAAAAGACUGUGACAAAAGCGUAAUGAGCUACCAAAAGGACAAAGCUGAAGUCAAGCUGGCCUACUAUUAAGCACUUAUCAUUUGAUAUGAUUGAUAUUACUUUAUUCUCAUCAAUACAAUUCUGAAUUAUCUACUUGUCUUUUUCUGGAGGCCAUCAUAGGCUUUAUAAUGAUAAUAACCAUAUUUCUAGAUAUUCUUAUUUAAACUACUUUGAUCACCCUAAAUCAAAUUAAAUAAACAUUUAUCAAGUGCCUUCCAAAAUUUUCAGUAUAUAAUUACUAGGUACCCAUUAUGAGUAACAUAACAUGUGGCCCCAGAGUAGGGCAGGCAGACCAUGGACAUGGUUAAAUAUAUUCCAGAUCGUACAAUACAUGAGGACUGUAUGAAGGCUAAAAAGAUGUCACUGAUGGGAACCAGGACAUACCAACUCAAACUAUGGAACUUUGGUAUAAGAAUUAUUUUGAACUGGAUGCGUUUGAAUUCCUGAAAUCUUUUAUCUGCUUAAAAGUAGAGCCUCCCCAAAGAACUCAAUUGUCAUAAUUCCCUAGAUGCUCUAAUCUUCUCUUUAGGAGCACCACACCCAGCCAGACACUGUCACAAACUACUCUUUCUCCCAUUUAUUCUCCUUUUGUCAUUACAGAAAGUUACUUGCUUUUCCAUACUUGCCCUUUCUUUCCCUCUCUUUCCUCUACUAGGUUAGUUAUAUAGACCCCAAAUUCUAACCACAACUUUCUGUGUUACUCAUUUCUUUCUGUGUUACUCGUACCCCCAUAUGUUAACAUACUCCAUGUACAUGUUAAUAAAUUUCUGUUCAUUUUUCUCUUGUUAAUCUGUCUUUUGUCCAUCUAAUUUAUAGGGCCUCUGCUGGAGCACCUCAGAAAGAAGGAAAAAGAAUUUUUUCCUCCCUUACUUCACAAAGUUUAUAAUCCAUGAUAUAUUUCAGCAUGUUAUAGGGGUGUAAUUGCUGGGUAAUAUGGUAGUUCUAUUUUUAAUUUCUGAGGGAUCCUAUGCCAUUUUCAAUAGUGGCUGUACCAAACUCCUACCACAAUAGAUUAGGGUUCCUUUUUCUCCACAUUCUUAUCAAUAUUUGCUAUUAUACUCUUUUUGUCAAUAGUCAUUCUGACAAGUGUGAGGUGAUAUCUCAAUUGGUUUUGAUUUGCAUUUCCAUGAUGAUUAGUGAUGUCAAGCAUCUAUUCAUGUGCCUGUUAGCCAUCUGCUUGUCUUCUUUGAAAAAAAUAUAUGUAAAGAUAUUCUGCCUAUUUUUUGCAUAGGUUGUUUGAUAUUUAUUUAUUUAUUUAUUUUUUCCACUGUACAGCAUGGGGGCCAAGUUACAAAUACCAGCAACCUUGUGGUUCCUAGUCAGAUUUGUUAACACUGAGCCAUGAUGGGAACUCUGAGAAACAAAUAUUUUUUUUUAAAAAAAAAAGAAAGAAAAUAUUUUCUUUCCCACUGUAUAAUUCUGCCAUCUUUGUCCUAGUCUAAUUGACUGUCAGGGGGGUGGGUUUAUUCCUGGGAUCUCCAUCCUUUUACAUUGAUCUAUGCAUUUGGUUUUUAUGCCAGUAAAACAUUGUCUUAAUUAUUGUAGCUUUCAUUGUAUUCUAAUGGGAAGCACGAUGCACCCAGCUAAGGUCUUUUUUUCUCAAGAUUGCUUUGGUUACUGUUCUUUUCUGAUUCUAACUAUAAAAAUUUUAGGAUUAUUUGUUCCAUUUGGUGAAAAAUGUCAUGGGUAUUUUUAUUGGGAUUGCAUUAAAUCUGUUGAUUGCUUUGGGUAUAUGGAUAUUUUAACAAUAUUAAUUCUUCCAAUCCAUGAACAUGGGAUAUCUUUCCAUUUCUUUAUAUCAGCUUCAAUUUCCUUCAUUAGUAUUUUAUAGUUUUCAGAGUAUAGGUCUUUCACUCCUUGGUUAAGUUUAUUCCUAGGUAUUUUAUUCUUUUUGAUGUGAUUGAAAAUAUGCUUGUUUUCUCACUUUCUCUUUCAAAAGUUCAUUAUUAGUGUAUAGAAAAGAAAGUGAUCUGUACACUAAUCUUGAAUCCUGCAAUUUUACUGAAUUCAUCUAUUAGUUCUAAUAGUUUUUUUGUGAAGACAUUAGAAAACUAUAUAUAGUAUCACGUCAUCAACAAAUAGGGAGAGUUUUGUUUUCUCCCUUCCAAUUUGGCUACUUCUUUUUUCUUUUUAUUGCUUGAUUACUGUGGCUAGAACUUCCAAUACUAUGUUAAGUAGAAAUGGCAAGAGUGGGUACCCUUGUCUUAUUCCUGAUUUUAGAGGAAAAGUAUUCAGUAUUUUACCAUUGAGUGUGAUGUCACCUAUGGGUUUUCAUAAAUGGCCUUUAUUAUGUUAUAUGCUCCCUCUGCAAGUACUUUGUUGAAAGUUUUUAUCAAAAAUGAAUGUUGAAUUUUGUCAAAUUAUUUUUCUGUGUCUACUGAGAUGAUCAUGUGAUUUUUUUUGUCUUUUUUUUUUUUUUUUUUUUUUUUUUUUUUUUUGUCUUUAAGGGCCACACCAGCAGCACAUGGAGAUUCCCAGGCUAGAGGCUGAAUUGGAGCUGCAGCUGCUGGUCUACACCAGAACUGCAGCAAUGCGGGAUCCAAGCCGUGUCUGGAAACUACACCACAGCUCAUGGCAAUGCCAGGUCUUUAACCCACUGAGCAAG
rnacentral:lncRNA from 1 species